GGAGAUAAAAACACGACCCCGUUGGGUAGUCGGGGUGCGUCUGCACGGGCGUCAGUAACCUGCCUCCUUGGUUGUCCCUUCUCCU
rnacentral:ncRNA from 1 species